UACGAAGGAUGCGAGCGUUAUCCGGAUUUAUUGGGUUUAAAGGGAGCGUAGGCGGUCUUAUAAGUCAGUGGUGAAAUCUCGUUGCUUAACAACGAACGUGCCAUUGAUACUGUAGGACUUGAGUACAGUUGCCGUUGGCGGAAUGUGUCAUGUAGCGGUGAAAUGCAUAGAUAUGACACAGAACACCGAUUGCGAAGGCAGCUGACGAAACUGUAACUGACGCUGAGGCUCGAAAGUGUGGGGAUCAAACAGG
rnacentral:rRNA from 1 species